rnacentral:misc_RNA from 1 species
UGCCUGGUCGCCUCUUAAUACCUUCAGGUUCUUCCUCACCUGGCCUGCCUGGUCGCCUCCUUAUGUCUUCAGGUUCUUCCUCACCUGGCCUGCCUGGUCGCCUCCUUAUAUCUUCGGGUUCUUCCUCACCUGGCCUGCCUGGCC